rnacentral:lncRNA from 1 species
CCAUGCACAAGCCAUCAGUACGCAACGCCGCGUUACGUUCGUAUUUCCUCAGCCAUUUCAAACUUGGCACAUGCAAUGAUUUUUCUCUGUCUCAUCCCCUUCCAAGCGAUGCAACUAAAUAAGAAAGUAAGAAAAAGAAAAAGUAAGAUGGCACGUUCAAGCUCAUUGGUGGAGAUUAUGGCCCAUCAAGGAAAAAUAAUUAGUAUAUGCAAAAAAAGUCAUGAUCGACAAGACUCAGGUCAAACAUAACUAGUUGCUGCC